rnacentral:rRNA from 1 species
GAUGAACGCUGGCGGCGUGCCUAAUACAUGCAAGUCGAGCGAACAGACGAGGAGCUUGCUCCUCUGACGUUAGCGGCGGACGGGUGAGUAACACGUGGAUACCCUACCUAUAAGACUGGGAUAACUUCGGGAAACCGGAGCUAAUACCGGAUAAUAUAUUGAACCGCAUGGUUCAAUAGUGAAAGACGGUUUUGCUGUCACUUCUAGAUGGAUCCGCGCCGCAUUAGCUAGUUGGUAAGGUAACGGCUUACCAAGGCAACGAUGCGUAGCCGACCUGAGGGGGUGAUCGGCCACACUGGAGCGGAGACACGGUCCAGACGCCUACGGGAGGGAGCUGUAGGGAAUCGUCCGCAAUGGGCGGAAGCAUGACGGAGCAACGCCGCGUGAGUGAUGAAGGUCUUCGGAUCGUAAAACUCUGUUAUUAGGGAAGAACAAAUGUGUAAGGAACUAUGCACGUCUUGACGGUACCUAGUCAGAAAGCCACGGCUAACUACGUG